GUGGAAUUUAUUUGCUCCCCUUGUUUCAACCUGUUAAUCUCAAGAAUGAUUCAAGCUUCAAUGGACUCUGACCUAAAAUUAGCUGCAAUUUUUUUUUGCACCUGUCUCUAGCCACAUUUUUCUAAGAAGAGGAUCAAAUAGCUUUAGUCACAUCUCUAUUAUAAAAAACAAAAACAAAAACAAAACACCCAGGAGUUCCCGUCGUGGCAUAGCAGAAAACAAAUCUGACUAGGAACCAUGAGGUUGCAGGUUUGAUCCCUGUCCUCAUGGAUACUAGUCAGGUUCCUAACCCACUGAGCCACAGUGGGAACUCUGAAAAGCCAAAGAUUAGUGAGGACACUGAGAACUUGCUGAAGAAGAAAGAGACCCUCGGCCAGGAGUCCUGGAUGCAUCCAGAUCAACCAGGACCCCACGUCUGCUGCGUGAGCCAGGCCUGAGGCAGACGCUGUCUGUAAACCUCCUGGGUCAUAUGGGGCCACGCAGGUCGCACACGGUCCUACCGUGAUGGCAGGGGACCCAGCUGUCGCUGGCCUGCUUUGCUUUUCUCUGCACCGCGGAGGGAGCAGAGGGACGUCGUGGCGACAGACGCACGGGGGCGCAGGCCAGCGUCGCAGGAACACCUGUCCCCUCUCCUUCCACCGCAGCCCCACGCCCCGCCCGCUCAGGGCGGCCCGCGGAGCAUCCUUCAUGACCUCGUGCAGCAGAGGACACUCGAACCACGGCCCGUGCUUCAUCUGGGAUCAAGCUCUCACCCUUUCUCUGGGCGUAGAGAGGCUUCCUCCGCCCGCCUCUCACGUCUCAGUCCCUCCGCCCCGGAUUCAUGCUCCACCGCAGCCCAGCUCGCGCCCAAGGGCCUCCCCGUGCAAUCCUUUCCAGACAAGCGGGUGGCGGGGCCUGGCUGUGCGGUCUGCGCUGUCCCUCCUAUGCCUGGUCCUGCAUGGGCCACUCCUGUGUCCCGAUGCCGCGAUGCUGUGACCCUCACGCGGCUGACCUCGUCAAGACCUGGUUACGCUUGACGCACCGUCGCACUCCGGGCUCUUGCAAAAGGCGUAGCCCCCGUGUUUAUCCCAAGACAGAAAGCACGUCCCCGGCUUGGGGUCGGGGGCAGGUACGGCUUCCCCUGCGGCAGACUUUGCCCAAACCUCGUUCUUCCCACGCGCGCUUUCAACAGCCCUGGGACGCCCCCGAGCGGACACCAGCGGCCCCACGUGGGCGCUGGCCCGAGUGCAGCGUCGUCAGUGUCCCAUAGGCCCCGGCUGGCUCUCGUUGCCUCCCUGUUCUCCCCACUUAACAGGGCCCCAGUCCCACAUCGAGGUUGGGUCUCUGUGUCCGACAAAACCGUUCCUGUCUCUUGUCACGACGGGGACGACGGCAGAACACAGAGGAGGCAGCCGCAACGGGUCAGGCUGGCGGCUGAACACGAGGCCGACCCCAAGGGCUUCUCGAGGUCCCGAGCGUUCCUUUCAGGAGUGACUGUCCCGGGCUGCUUGAGUCUUCCUGUCCGCGCUGUCCGUCUGCUGAGUCGCGGGAGGGCCUGGCUGGAGAGCUGUCCUGACCCACAUUCGCCUGGUGUGUGGCCGGGGGGAGCUCUGGAGCCCUGCUCCCGGCAGGCGCGCCGGGUCACCGCGCCGGGUCACCGCAGGCCUCCACGGCGGCCUAGUGAGACUCACCUUCACAUUCCCUCAGUUUUCUUCCUGUAAAGUGCUUGGGCCCCGGGGACCCCAUCACGCUGCCUCUGGGUCCCGGCAUCUCAGAGCAUGGAUCAGGCCGCGGGGUCGCGUCUCUCCCAGCCCGGCUUGGGUGGGCUCAAGACACAGGCAGCUCUGGCCUGGCUUCUCCAGCCCCUCUGUCUUCAGGGUGCGUCCCCCAGCGAGGGCCAACUCUUCCCUCCUUUACCAGGAGCCGUCCCUGCCAAUGUCAUCGUUAGGGUUGUCCUGUGAGCUUCCAGGUUUCCUCUGGGGGGAGAGGUCUUAGGGUCACGGAAAGGGUGGGGGCGGGAGGACUGGAGACACAGGUUCACGAGUGGCCGGCAGAGUCCCCGCAGGUCCCGUUAGGGAUUGAACUGUGUCCCCUGAAGCUGCCUGUUGAGCCUGGUGUGAUGGCGUUUGGAGACGGGGUCUCUCGGGUGGUUCCUCAGCUUGAAUGAGGUGGUGAGGGUGGGGCCCUGGUCCCAAAGACCGGGGUCCUCAGAAGAGGAGGAAGGGACCCCGCGUUGGCUCACCGCCCUGGGAGGGCUCGGCAAGACGGUGCCGUCUGCGGGCCAGGCGGGCGUCACCAGAACCAACCCUGGUGGCCCCCUGGUCCCCUGGCCGGGCCCCCUCUGCACUGUGGGCCACCACGUGGAGGUCAGCACAUCUGCUCUGCGCCACUGCGAGGCAGGUGGGUCUCUGAAAGGGCAGCAGAGGCCACGCGGGGCCCCAGCCACAGCGCUGCCACACGGCGAGCGGGCCUGCAGCUCCUCGCAGCGUGGCACACACAGGCACACACACGUAUGUGCACACGCAGGCGCGCACACAUGCAUAGACACCCACACAUGCACACACACACGCACACAGAGGCCCACGGGCAUCGGAGGCACGGAGCUAGGCUUUCUCUUCUCACUCUCCCACAGAUGGCGGGGAGGCACCAGAACCGCGGGGGGCAGCCAGGGGCCGGCUCUGCGCUCAAAGAGGUUGUUCAUGAAAAAGUAAUUGCAGGCUGAGAAAUGACUCUGUCCAUCAGCAUUGAGAAAAUGUCUCGUUUAUACAGCGGCCCUCUGGGCUACCAACGUUAUAAACAUUGUGAAAGGAGACCCCUGUCGCCUCAUGAUUUAAAUCUCAGAACGAGGACUAUACAGAGUAAAUAAAGUCAAGAAUCAAAUUACUACAAUCUAGAAACUCUUGCGAUGCAUGCUUUUAAGGAUAAUCAAACACAAUCACCAGGCAAAAUCUUUGAUCUAAGAUAUGCCACUUUUUUGGCCUCCAAAGUGUAUUAUUUUCCUCUGAUUGUGUUAAUUAGAGAAGAUUACCUUAAAUAAUGUAAAAUAGAGAGGCUAACCUGUGAUUCGAGCUUGCCUCACGCGCUGAUAAGGUGUCCUCAGGCAGGGGUCACACGCCCAGCCCCCGCCUCGCGCGUUUCCGGCUUUGUGAGAGCCUCCUCUGGACGAGGGGCCACAGCCCGUGGAGUCACUGGCGUCAGGCGUGGCUGGCGCAAGAGAAGAAAGAGCAGCACUGCUUUCUCGACGGGGCGAAAAAAUUAGUGAAGGUGACACACCGCCUUGUGCCACGGCGCCAGCAGGGCAUACGUACUGUCCCUUAGCUGUGCAUAUGUGCAGAGCUGGUUGAGCAGCCCCCGCACUGCCUUCUGUCGUGUGUUCGUGCAUGUUUACAGCCUCUU
rnacentral:lncRNA from 1 species